CUUCCACUAGAUGGGAUGUCUUCAAGCCCAGUCCAACCUAGCCUGCAACAUUUCCAGGGAUGGGGCAGCCACAGCUUCUCUGGGCAGUCUGUGCCAGGGUCUCCCCACGCUCGUGGGGAGGAAUUUCUUGCUAAUAUCCCACACAAAUGUCCCCUCUU